CAUCAUUUUUCUCUAUUAUAUUGCAUUUGAUUUCGUUUCUCUUUCAGGCUCUCAUUUCCUUAAAGUUUAGUUAGCAUUAAACUCUCAGAACCCAAUCCCAGUGAGGGAUGGCUCAGGGGAUGUAACUCCAGUCAAUACUUAAAUGCCACUCUUCCAAAGAUGAUGAGAGAGGCAAAGAGGAUGAGAUGAUUUGGCCUAUAUGUUGGUCAUGCGCACUUUAUUCCCAUAAUUAUUAUUUUUCAUUUAACAGUUAUUGAAUGAGGCACACUCCUCUGUGACUGCAUUCCUCCCAUUGUUCCUCCCACCCUUUCCCUCCCUCCACUCACCUUGCCUGCCUUCCUGCCUUCCUUCUUUAAUUAUAAAACAAUAUGUUAAAGAUUCUGGUCCUGAAACCUCAUUCCAGUUCAUAAAAAAACUAAAUUCAAAGAACCUUGAUUUUUUUCCCCUCUUCACAGACUUUGUCAUGAGAAUUCUUAGCCGAUUUCCCUUGCGGCAUGCCUGGGUCACAUGAGUGUGUGUGUAUGUGUGUGUGUGUGUGUGUGCUUAAGGGAUGAAAACAGGCCUGUCUUUAUGGAACAGGUACAGUAUUUCACAGCCGGCUGGCUAGGAAUGGAAUUCUUCUAUGAAGAGCUACUUUUCUGGAUCCUGAACUGGUUAGGAGAUGCAAAUUCUACACUGAAUGCUGAUAAGACCAAACCACACACAUCUGUGUAUCUGUAGAUGGUGUGCACAUGCACACACACACACACACACGAUUUUUAUUAAAAUGCAAACACAUCUGUAUUACUGCUACAUUCACUUCUACAUAGUUGAAAAUCCUUCCUUUUGCAGCUUCAAAGAUAGCCAGGCAGGAGUUAUUUUAUAGAAUGGAAGUAAUUUCUACGGGGCCAAGCAAUAAUAAGGAAAUUGGAAGUCAAGGACUAUCUUCCGAAUGGAGAAGAAGCUCCAUCAACCACAGAAGGAAAUUAUGAUCACUCCUGCCAUCCUGCUCCUUUGUGUAUCCAGGAUGAAGGGGAGAAUUGGAGUCUUGCACAAUGAAAGGACAACAUUGCUGCCAAAACAAUCCAUCGUGACUGUAGACAUAUUUUCCACCCUCAUCCUGCAGGUUUUCUGCCAGUUGUUGGCCCCUCACCAAUUUUGCUCCUGGGCAGUCUGAGGUGGAACAUAAUUUUGUAUAAAACAAAUUAUGCUCAACCUCACUUAUAAUCAGGGAAAUGUGAGUCAAAACCACAAUAAAAUAUCACCUCAUGCUGUUUAGGAUUGCUGUUAUCAAGUAGACAAGAAAGAAGUGUUGGUGAGGGUAAGGAGAAAAUAAAAUCUUUGCACACUGUUGGUGGGAAUGUAAGUUGGUAAAGCCACUAUCAAAGGCAAUAUGAAGGAUUCUCAAAAAAUUAAAAAUAAAAUUGCCAAAUGAUCCAUCAAUCCUUCUUCUGGACACAUAAUCAAAGGAAAUGAAAUCAGUAUCUCAAAUAGAUAUUUGCACCCCAUAUCCAUUGCAUCCUUUUUUGUAAUAACCAAGAUAUGGGAGCAAUCGAAGUGUCCAUCAGCAAAUGAAUGGAUAAAGAAAUCAUGGUACACAUAUACAGUGGAAUAUUAUUCAGACAUAAAAAGGAAGGAAAUCCUGUCAUUUCUCAAGACAUUAAUGAACCCAGAGGACAUCAUACUAAGUGAAAUAAGCUAGAUAUAGGAAGACAAAAACCACAUGAUCUCACUUACAUGUGGAAUCUAAAAAAGUCAAACUCAUAGAAGCAGCGAGUAGAAUAGUGGUUGUCAAGGGCUUGGGAUAAUUGAGGAGAUGUUGGUUAAAGGGUACAAACUUUAAGUUAUAAGAUGAACAAGUUCUGGCGCUCUACUAUAUAGUAUGGGUGAUGACGGAUGUGUUAAUUAAUUUGAUUGUGACAUUCAUUACACGAUGCAUAUGUAUAACAAAUCAUCACAUUGUACACCUUGGAUAUAUUCCAUCUUUAUUUAUCAAUUAAAUAUUUCAAAAUGUUUUUAAAAAGGAAGGCAAAAUGGGCCAAAAGGAGUAACUACUUUAUGUAGAGCUGAUGUCCAGGCUAGAAUUUCUAAACUUUUUCUGUAACCUAGAGUCUCUGUUAUACUUUUGACUUACCCAUUAUUCAUAACAGAUCUCAGGAACCCUCAUCACACUGCCUAUUGCUAAAAACUCAAAGGAGUUAUUGUUAUAUGAACAACCCAAGUUAAUGCAGUCAUUAAUGGAAAUACAGAGUCUUGACUGAAAGAGAUCAUUUCUAUUUUUUGUUGCGAUAGUCAGAUCAUAGCCAGUCACAUCUUUUAGGGAGGAUGCAAAUAGGCUGGACUUCCUUCAGCAAACAGGAUGCUGUAGAAUAAAAUAUUCUACAUGAGAAUACUUAAACAAAUUGGAGUGCCUGGUGCCACCAUGUAAAUUGUGAGGUGUCAGACAGGCUGGUCUUUGGAUUAGAGAUUGGACUUACUCUCUGUGGCCCUAUGAGUAGAGCAGGUCGGGGUGGGGCUGGGCAGGGAGGAAGAUCAUCUUAAAGUGAUAGAUGUAGGCUCAGUGUGAGGAAGGAUUUCUAAGAGUUGGAGCUGCUCAGAGGUGAAAUAUCAAGAGAAUGCCCUUCAGGAGCAGUGUCUGAAGACAGACCACAUGGCCAAUAGGGAGAGAUAAGCGGGCUGGGUGGCCCUCAGCGCUUUGCUUCCAGUCUUGGGAGUCUUACUGAAAUAGCUAAUGACCACUCAACCCAAAGAACAGACACAUGUCUGCCAUGUCUCUCCAGGCUCAUCCUGCUUAUUGCAAGUGAGGCCCAAAGGUGGGGCUGUUAUUCCCUGAUGUUUCAGGUCCAUGUGCAACUUAUUCCCAGAUCUUUUCUGAAAAAAAAAGCAGAGAGACUGUUUGCCAGACAGCUGGACCAGAAUGAGGUAAAAGAAGAUAAGGCCCAACCGAGAAGUCAGAAAAGCUUCACUUUUCAUUAGCUCCACAUUCCAAAGUAAGAAAUCAAUGUGCUUAGCUGCAAUUCAAAGCAAUUAGUCUUUGUUCUCACACACUCUCAAAGAACGACUUAAAGAAGCCCAAAUAAAUAUUUUCAGAAAAGAGAGUAAAUUUGUGUUACUUAACCCAAGGAAUGCAAACAAGUGUAAUUAAAGUGAAUACCCAUAAAUAAAGUAAAUACAUUAGUUAGGAAAUGAAUUAAUUAGUGUUUAAUUACUAUCAAUUACUAAAAUCACUACAGAAUUACUUGUAGAAUGGACUGAAUCUCUUGCUCCUAUUAAUAAUUUCCAUUGCUAAUUGUAUGCACUUGUAUUUUCUUUGGGUGCAUCUUAGCAGAGCUAAUAGGAGGAAGCAACAGCACAGUGAACAAUGACAGGGACAUUUUUUUUCUUUGUUCAGUGAAAAACAAAAGGGAUUUGAAAUACAUCUGCCUGGUUUUCAAAAGCCAAUGUGGGUGAGGAAGGGACGCAGGAAGGAAGGUUGUCCUCGUGACACAGGGUGACCCUCGCCAUUCCCUGCUGAGGGGAAGCAGCUGAUGUUUGUGGCAGAGCCCUAAGGUGAGGGUUGUGUGUGUGUGUGUGUGUGUGUGUGUGUGUGUGUGUGUGUGUGUGUGUACAGAGGAGAAAGGUAGGUACUGGGAGGCUCAAUGCCUGAGCUCACUUCCAGCAUGCUCUGUGGAAUGCAUAUGUAGACUGGCAGCCAGGCAUCUCUACCCACUGGUCUUGACAGGUGAGGGAAUAAGUUUUACAUUUACCUGGAGGACAAAGUUCGUCAUUUGCUGCCUUGCAGGUGGAGAGAACACACCUGACAUCAUGCUCCCUAAGAAGCAACACACUAGCUGGUCCUAGAAACAGAUGUAUACAAAUGAGAGGCUGAGGCUAAAGAGUGUCUUUCCUGGGACCCACUCUGCCUGCUCACCAGCAUUCUCAUUUUCCUGUUUACACAACAUCCCCUUACCCCUUCCCUGCCCUCUCCUCCUCUCCCUCAUGGACACAGACUCUCAGGCCAGACCGCCUAGGUUUGAUUCCAAGCUUCCUCACCUGAAAGACCUUGGGCAAAUUACUUAACCUCUGUGAGUCUCAAUUUCCUCACCUGUAAAAUGGGGAGAAUGAUAGUACCUACCUCUCUUGGUUCUGGUGAGAGCUCAGAUCAGUGGGUGACACAUAGCAAUCUCUGCUUUACUCAUUUUCUUGGUAUUUCCACCACAUAUUUCUUUGUGGAGUAGUUGAGGGGAUACAUAUGAUGUGGAGAUAAACUAGCUGGGAGGAUGGCAGGAGUGAUUUGGGAGGGAAACGAAGUUGAAGAGGAGGAAUUGGUCCUUAAGUGGUUGUUCUGUUUAUUAGUUAGGGUUCUCCAGAGAAAUGACACCCAUAGGAGAUUUAUUAUGAGGGGUUAGCUCACAUGAUUAUGGAAGUGGAAAAGUCCCAUGAUCUGUUGUCUGCAAACUGGAGGCCCAUGAAAGCCAGUGGUGCAACUCAGUCGAAGCCCAAAGGCCAGGAGUGCCACUGUCGGGGGGGCAGGAUAAGACGGACAUCCCAGCUGAAGGAGAGAGAGAGCAAACUCAUCCUUCUUUUGCUUUUCUGUCCUGUUAAAGCCCUUUAAGGAAUAGAUAAUGCUUGCCUACAUUGGUGGGGGCAGAUCUUCUUUGCUUAGUUUAUUUAUUUAAACGCUAAUCUCUUCUGGAAACACUGUCACAGGUAUACCCAGAGAUAAUGUUUUUCCACCUAUCUUGGCAUUCCUUAGCCUAGUCAAGUUAAUACAUAAGGAAUCAAAAAAAAAAAAAAGUCAAACCCUCAAAAGGAGAGUAAAUGGUGAUCACUAGGGCCUGGGGUUUGGGGAAAAAGGGAAGAGAAGUAGGUUAAAGGGCAAGUACUUUCAGCUAUAAGAUGAAUAAGUUCUGAGGAUCUAAUGUAUAGCUUGUUAACUAUAGUUAACAAUAUGAUACUGUUUAUUUGAAAUUUAUUAAGAGAGUAGCUCCUAAGUGUCCUAUAUGCGUGCACACACACACACAGACACACACACGAUAACUAUGUGUGGUGAUGAAAGUGUUAAUUUGAUUGUGGUAAUAAUUACACAAUGUAUAUGUAUAUCAACUCAUCAUGCUGUACACUUUGAAUAUAUACAAAUUUUAUGUGUCAAAUACACCUCAAUAAAGCUGGAC
rnacentral:lncRNA from 10 species